rnacentral:rRNA from 1 species
AGCAGCCGCGGUAAUUCCAGCUCCAAUAGCGUAUAUUAAAGUUGUUGCAGUUAAAAAGCUCGUAGUUGAAUUUCGGGAUCAUCAGGUUGGUCGUGCCUCUGGUAUGUACUGAUUUCGAUGGUUCCUCCUUCUUGAAGAGCCGUAAUGUCAUUAAUUUGGUGUUGCGGGGAAUCAGGACUGUUACUUUGAAAAAUUGAGUGUUUAAAGCAGGCAAUCGCUUGAAUACAUUAGCAUGGAAUAAUGAAAUAGGACGUUCGAUUCCUAUUUUGUUGGUUUCUAGGAUUGACGUAAUGAUUAAUAGGGAUAGUUGGGGGCAUUAGUAUUCAAUUGUCAGAGGUGAAAUUCUU